rnacentral:lncRNA from 1 species
GUGGGAUAUUAGUGGGGUGCGAUGUUACUUGAUGUGAUAUCAUUAAUGGGGAGCAAUGAUAUUAGUGGGGUGCGAUAUCAUUACUGGUGUGGGAUAUUACCUAUAAUUAUUUAGAAAGAAGAUGCAAUGUUUUUAAUGUUUGUGGUGCUGAGGUGUGUGUGAUGCUCUGUUCAUUCUCGCAGGAGCUGCUGGCGUGAGCGCAGCGUGUUGCGCAGAGUUUAGCUGGCAGACAGGAUGACGUGUGAAUUUUUCCUGCUCUCGUCCCUGUGGUUCAUUGUUGUGAUAUUUUGGAUGGAGACUAUCAGCAUGUGGCUCUUCCUCUGCCAUCUAUUCCAGGAUCGCGCCCUGCAUCAGUGGGUGGAGAGGUGUGUGAUAUCCAGCAUGUCUGAGGUUUAGUAUAAAGUGCACCAACUUGUCACUUGUGUGUAUUGUAUGUGGAUGCUGUGAGAAGGCGUUCAGCACUCUGGAAGGAAAACCCAAAGCAAUAUCAAGCACAAAGCCGAUUAUGACAAUGUCGCCC